ensembl:snRNA LOC120102603 U6 spliceosomal RNA
CUCAUUUCAGCAGAAGAUAAACUAAAAUUGGAACAGUAAAGAGAUUAGGAUAGUCCCAACACAAGGCUGACAUGCAAACUCAUGAAGCAUUCCAUUUUAUA